UCCCUGGUGGCUUAGAUGGUAAAGAAUCUGCCCGCAAUGCGGGAGACCCAGGUUCGACCCCUGGACUGGGAA
rnacentral:tRNA from 1 species